GCGGGUGUGGUGAAACUGGCAGACAUGCCGGAUUUAGGUUCUGGUGUUGUGAGGUUGCAGGUUCAAGUCCUGUCCCCCGCA
rnacentral:tRNA from 1 species